GGGGUUUUGUUCUUUUGCCCUUUGCAGUAAAUCUUGCUGCUACUAACUCUUUGGGUCCACGCUGCCUUUGUGAGCUUUAACACUCACCACGAAGGUCUGCAGCUUCACUCCUGAAGCCAGCGAGACCACGAACCCACACUGAAGGAAGGAAACUCGGAACACAUCCGAACAUCAGAAGGAACAAACUCGACACGUUGCCUUUAAGAACUGUGACACUCACCGCGAGGGUCGGCGUCUCCAUUCUUGAAGUCAGUGAGACCAAGAACCCACCAACCAAUUCCGGACACAAUCUCAGCACUGUGGGAGACUGAGGUCUUUCCUGAGCACACAGAAGAUCAAGACCACACUCACUGACUUCUCAUAGUCAAGCAAUUUUGGCCAAUUAAAUGUCAGUUGGAAACUCCUGUGUCAGCUUCUCUGUGGCGGUGAGAAGUCCCUGUGUGACAUCCCAACUCUCCCCUCACCUGCGUUGGCAACCAAGAAAGCCUUGUGUUGGAGGUGGGGCCACAAGUUUAAAGCUAAGUUACCACCUCGAGGGCACAUUCCUGGAGAGCUUCCCAGGCCCACAGUGGCACGUGUAUGAGUGACAGAUCCACUUCUUUAUUACCUUUUUGAAGAACAGGAACCUUUGUCUGGAAAUUCCACAAGUAUGCCUUUUGCAAGAUUAAAAGUGCCACAAAGAACAAAAAUGAGCCCAGGACCAGAUGCAUGUUAAAAGCCAUCAGACACGUUAAGUUUCAUCUCCAUUGACCUGCAGAAGGAGUCUCUCACCACAGCCACCACAUCUAUGCAUGUGCUGAGUCACAUGUGAAGCCAGCACAUCUCAGAGUCUCACCGAAAGCUCAUGGUGGUAAUGAAGUGGCAGCAGGCAUUUGAGGGGGGAUCUGGCUAAGAGAAGAUGAGUUGUGGAUGCAUUUCGGUAGGUUUUGUUUCAGUGGUUCACAGUCGCUUCUGUGGAAAUGAUGUCCAAGAAGACUUCUUUCUGCUGACCUGGCUAGUGUUCUGACUUGAUGUUGUGGGGCCAGAAGUUGUGUUGCAGUAUGCACACGUCCUUUGAUGCCUGGCACAGAAAAUUGUGAGACAAAGAGACUAGAAGGGGUAGAGUCAGCUAACUUCUCUCCUCCCACCACUGAUGAGGUUUUGGUGAAUUCUCUUCCCUUGCUCAGGACUAUUUGGUUUCUAUUCUACUUCUGGCCUUUCAUAUUCCUGAUGGUGCAUUGGAUGAAACCCCGCAGCCAGGCGUGUGAACGUGGUUGAAAAGACCCAUGGAGGACCAGCAACGCUUCCCCACAGCGUGGGAUGGUCCCCUCCUGAGAUGGCCCACUGUCAGCGGGACUGACGCCAAGCACUGCAUCCUGUCUGCUUCUUGAACAGCCCCUUCAUUGUUUGUUCAGCUAUUCUGCUGCAUCUGCAGAUAGCCCUGCCUGAGAAACAGCCUCAAACCAGAAGGAGAGGAUGGCGGCAAGCCUUAGAGAAACAUCAAAAUUUGCUAUUAAGAAAAUAGUGAAGAAGUCUCAUCAGAGAGAAGUUAAAAGCAUACUAGUGGAUUCCUUGGGGCUGCAGAAAGAGUAGCAAAAAGUUGGAGAAAACAUCAACUACACCAAAGGAAUUUUAGGAGCUUGGUCCCCAGCAAAGCUCAUGGAAUCUCUCUCUGCAAGGAAGAGUCAGUUUUAAAAGCCCUCAGCCUGCUCUCAAUGGGUCCUGCCUCCUUCCCUGCCUGCACCCCAACACUGGGGAAAGGAGAAACCUCCGUUAGCAAGUUGGAGAAAAGGAGUUGAGGAAGGAAGAGGAUAGCCCGGCCCCCUCCCUGACUGCAGGUUUUUCUUUUUCUUUUUAACAGUGGAUUCUAGCGAGGGGAGGGCAAAUCCCUGAAACCUUGAAUGAAGUUGGAAGCCUUUACUAGUUUGUGUGUUUGGAAUUCUAAGUAGAAAUUGAGACUGUGUUUUGUGACUCAAAUGACUAAGAUUUUCUGUUACCUACGAGUGGCCAAAAUGUCAAGUAUUCAUCCGGGGGCAGGGUGAAAACUAGACCUACUGAGAAAGUUAAAAGACAAGGGGAAAACACAAUAAACCUGCUGUAUUUUUACCUCCAAAGUGUCCAUUCAAUUUACUGGCUGUAGUAGUUUGAAAGCAAGGUUCUGUGAUAUCAUUCCAGAGUUGAGAGUAACAAAAGCUGAUAAUUGUAAAUGCAGCACUAUCCAAUGGAAAUAUAAUGCAAAUUAUAUGCGUGACUUAACAUUUUUU
rnacentral:lncRNA from 1 species